CCUACGGGUGGCUGCAGUGGGGAAUAUUGGACAAUGGGGGCAACCCUGAUCCAGCCAUGCCGCGUGUGUGAAGAAGGCCCUCGGGUUGUAAAGCACUUUCAGUGAGGAAGAACGCCUGGUGGUUAAUACCCAUCAGGAAAGACAUCACUCACAGAAGAAGCACCGGCUAACUCCGUGCCAGCAGCCGCGGUAAUACGGAGGGUGCGAGCGUUAAUCGGAAUUACUGGGCGUAAAGCGCGCGUAGGUGGCUUGAUAAGCCGGUUGUGAAAGCCCCGGGCUCAACCUGGGAACGGCAUCCGGAACUGUCAAGCUAGAGUGCAGGAGAGGAAGGUAGAAUUCCCGGUGUAGCGGUGAAAUGCGUAGAGAUCGGGAGGAAUACCAGUGGCGAAGGCGGCCUUCUGGACUGAAACUGACACUGAGGUGCGAAAGCGUGGGUAGCAAACAGGAUUAGAUACCCCGGUAGUC
rnacentral:rRNA from 1 species